GGGCCAGCGCGGGGUGGCUGGCGAGUUCAAGGAGGAGGGCGGAUGGCGGCGGCAACCGGAGGGCCGGGCGCGGCCACGGACGGGCCGACGCGGGACGGACCCGCGAUGACCGGAGGCAGCGGUGGCGGCGCGACCAGAGGCACCGGGCUCCUCUCCAAUCUGGAGCUCCUCUCGCUCGAUGGGCCGACGUCGGGAUGGAGCCGGACGAGGACGGCCGCGGUCGUGGGCUGGAGGAGGUGCAGCAGGAGCACGGAGGAGGGCGGCCUCAUCCUCUCCUCUUCCGCCGACCUCGACAUCGUCUUCCGGCACAGCGACGACAGGCGGCGGCUGGAUGCUACGAGGAGGGAAAACAUGUGCGGUGGUGGCUGACGGAGGACAGAGGAUGGAGGAGGAAGAAGGGAUGCGGCGGCUGUGGAUCCGUCUCGUCUUUAACCUUUGCGUGCUGCCGUCCCCGUACAUGCUCGUCUCCGUCUGGUCCAGAUGAGGCACAAGAUUCAUGUCCGGAGGCUGGAUGCUACCGGGAGGGAAAAAUCUUGAUCAAAUAGAAGAAGGAGAAAUUCAACCAAGCCUGAUGAGAUCAAGACAGCGUCGCUAGCAUCGAGAUCAAGUGAAGCUGCGCUGGAGCGAUGGUGCAUGUCUCGCCAUGCACGGUCGCUCCUCUCCAUGAAUCCACAGUUGGCAGACUGGCAUUACUUCUACCAGUGUUGUUGGUACAACAGGUCAACAGCUACAACUUCAUGGCUUCUUUGAGAUAUGAUGCCAUUGGCCAGCAUGCAGUUCCAGUACCUUAUGGUUGUGGAAAAUUUAAUUUCCUCUCUUUGUUUUAGCAAUUGAAGAAGGUCUUGGUGAACCAAUUGGAGGUGUCAUUUGAGUUCUACAAGAUCACCUGCUCGAUCACCUGCUCUUAGACACAAUUGUUUUAUUUCUUUGUUGAAUUUCUUCUAUAACAAUUAUGAUGCUUUUAGUUAUGUUCAUUAUUUGUGUAUAUUCGAACAUCUGCCACCGGUGCACAUCAUGUCUGCUGACAAGAUCUUGGCUGGAUUGAACAUUGUUGAAGGUGGAAUUCUACUAGGUUAAAAGUCAGUGGAGUAAGAGAGGGAUAAAAGUUGCAGUUUUUGUGAUAGUUUUUCUCGAUAUUAUACUGAUUUUUUUGUGAUCUCCCAAAGGAAUUUGCAAUGUGUGUGCUCUAUUGUCAUGCUCGGUAUAAUACUGAUUCUUGUGAUGGAUCCUUUACAAUCAGUUUAUUUUCUAUUUAAUGGUGUCCAGUAGUGUACCUAAAUGUUAAUAUCUUGCUUUUCGUACAGAAUCUGAAUAACAAAGGAGCGAAUUGAGAAAGUUCUCAAGGCCGGUGCUAAUGUUGUAUUUACCACUAGGGGCGUAGCCAGCACCUCCAGAUGCUUAGUCACUAAAAGACGAGGAAAUGGAUCCUCGAUGUUUUUGCGAAGCAGAUUUUGUCAGCUGUGGCAUGUUCGCCAACUGCAGCAUUAAUAAGUCCUACAACAUUUGGGUAGAUUUGUUUGUUAGGAAUUACGUAAUUAGCUAGCUUUGGUCCAGGAAAAUAUUAGGAAAUAUCAUGCUGUCUUGGUCUGAUAUGCUUCGUGAAUAUUUUAGUUUUAGUAAAUGAUAUCCGGAUGAUGUUUGGUUCCGGCUAGGUGAUGGAGAAUCACUGCUGAAGGUGAUAUUGCAUGCUGAAGGUGAUAUUGCAGGCACCAUCAUGGCCACAUCGAAGGUCCUAAGCUCUAGUUGCGCUGGGCUGGAGGAGGAGGAGAAGCGAAGGGCGGAGCUAGGCCGCAGGUGGAGGAGCAGCGAGCGGCUCUUGGGGUGGCGUUGGGUGAAGGAGGUGCUGGGCACAGGCCGACCAGUGCUGGCCUCCCUCCCUCGGCCAUGCCCUCACCCAUCGCCGUCCUGGUUGCCUCUUCCCCAACCCUAUUCUAUAAGCAGAGCAAGUCCCCCCCCCCCCCAAGCAGCGUUGCUUUACUCAUCAAAAAACAAGUACUCAAAUUGAUUUUAGAUCACGCUUGAGCAGUUUGUCCCCAAAUAAAAAAAUUACUGUUUAAAUGUAGUCAAGUCAGACCUUUUGUGAUUCCAAAGGAGUAGUCUGUUGUGGGUCAAAACAAAUGGUAAUUUUGCUUUGAUCAGUUUCGUUGCAGUCAAAAUAAUUGAUAUUUUUUGGUGGUAAUAUGGAUGCACUUGCCGUUGCUGGUAUUGCCUAAUAAUACGACUAACCAUGCACAUGUCAGCUUCAUCUGAUAUUAUGUCUUUCAUUUCUGUAUCUUUGAUUUGACCCUCCAUCUUUCAACAACUUUCUUAUGGAAUACUAAACCAAACUCAGUUUACUUUGAUGCUAAUUUAUUUAGCUCUUUGUUCCAUUGCAGGAGAUUAUCAACUCACUUUUUGUUUACAGGAAAAUUUAUUGAGACUCAAGAGUCAAGACAAAGGCAACAAAUUUUUGAAGCUGUGUUCUACCACUUCCCACAAUAAAUAAAAGAAAUUAUAGAAAGAAGGUCAACUCAUUGUUCUUCAUUCUGUUCAAUUAAUGGAUCUUGGCUACGGCAUCUUGUGAUGCAAUUAUUAAGUAUUUUACUUGUGAAAACUAUCAAGAAGCUUGCAUGCUUCCGACAACUGUGACUGAUUUUCUUUAUUGUUACCUCUUUACGUCAGUCUUAAUUUUCUGUUUUUCAUUGGUCAGUUAAUCUACCUGCUAUCCUUAACUGAUAUGCAGUUAAGCAUCUGAUACUUUGUGCUGCACAGUUUGCAGCUGUAGAGGCGAUGUCUUUCAGGUUGUGUGGAAUCCAAAUUUGGAGACUGUUGGCCUUCCAUGCUGCGGACAAAAGGGUGAUGAGAUGGGACGUUAGUAGGUCUAUAACUCUAUAUCCACAAUGGGUACCAAUCUUUUUGUCAACGUUUUGGUUUCCUGCCCUAUAAAGUGAUAUGCAUGUUCGUUAGGCAUGAAGUAGAUGCUCAAGAUAUAUUAGAACAUCUUUGGUAAUGUGCAAUGUGUCCAUUCCAGGUUAUAGAUUUUUCUUCCAAACUUCUGUCCUUCAGAUGUACUUCCUUUUCUCCAACCGCUUUUGAUCAUUGCAAACUACUACAGGAGGUACUGCAGAUAUCUAUCCAUGGAGCUCGAUGAACUGUGGUACUUAGUUAACAGCGACACCGAUCAGUUAGGUUAUAAAAUCCGUAGUUAUUGGAGCCAUUCAUAUGCGUUUAUCAGCGCAUGAAGGAAGAAGGUUUUCUUGUGUUACUUUAUGACUUUCCCCUUUGACCAUCGAAUGGUACCUAUAUUGUAUAUGCUGGUGUAUAACACUUGUUCCGGUAUAUGUUUGUUCUUGCACACAGUGCAGAUAGAGCUGAAUUUGGACAAACUUUGCAGUAAUAAAACCUUAUUGCAUGAUGCUUUGAAAAAUAAAAAUAUUGUAACGAUUAGUUUGUGAGUUGUCCAUAUUGCUUCACCCACUCGUUCGAAAGGUUUGUAUCCAUAGGUUUUGUAACAAUAUAUGGUUAUGAUAU